rnacentral:lncRNA from 1 species
ACGCCAACCUGCUUCUUUGGGUGUGCUGCUCUGUGAGUCUGAAGGAACGUUUAUCCCACCUCAACAAAUGUCGGUUAUAUUUCUAGAAAUGGAAUUGCUGCAGCAGAAGGACUGCAUAUGUUAACACUAGAGACAGACGACCAGCUUGUUUUUCUACAGUUUGUUCCAGUUUCCACUCAUCUCAACAGUUUACGGGGAUCUACAUCUCACUGAAAUCAUGAUGACAGCGGGUGAGGACGAGAAGUUGGCUAUCUACUACCCUGAAGAGGGCUCUCCCCACAACCCACCCACGCUGGCACCCUGAUCUCAGACUUCCCGCCACCAGAACUGUGAGAAAUAGACUUCUGUUGUUCAUACCCACCCAGUCUGCAGUAGGUUGCUAUCGCAGCCUGAAGGAAGACAUAUAUGGUUACAGUUUCAAUUUGCAUUCCUUGGAUUACUAGUGUUUUUAUUUCAAGUAAAAAUGUUAAAAUGUGGCUGCUUCAGCUGACAACUUUGAGUAUCAUGGAAGCACUUCUCCUGGAGACAAUCAUCAUACAAACAUUGAAAUACAUUUAUCAAAACAAGACAAAUACCCCCCCCUGGGAAGAAUAUGACAAGAAUGCAUGCCGCAUAUGACUUGGAGUGGAAAUUCAUUUUAAUCUCAGGGUCAUAGAAUGUUGACAUCCAUUAAAAUGAAAGCUGCUGUCUGUCUCUGUCUCGUCUUUGGACCCAGAAGAGCACCUCGUACAAAACGCCUGCUUCAAUAAGACUUCAACUUUGAUGAUGAGACUAUUAGGAGAACAUGAUGCCCUUCACCACAGAGCUAAAUAAGCACCUGGCCCGGUGAGGAUGCUGCGGGAGCCCCAGGAGCCGCAGGAGCUGGGGACUGACUGGUGCCUCACACCACCCUGGUGAGCCAGCAGAUAAGCCAUGCACAGCCUGUCGUUUUGACUGGAAAUGAUCUUCGACAGUGGGAUUUUGAGAAAAGAUAGAACGCUGCCACUCCCCCCAGUGCCCUGCAAUAUCUCCAUCUAUCUCAAGGGACUUACUCUUCACAUCUUCAGGAAGAGUCAACCUUUCUGCAAUUAAUGAACCCUAUUCACUAAGAUCCUGUUGGCAUGACAAUCAGGAUGUUUUGGUACUAUGUUUCAUUUUACUUUAUGCCCAACCUAGCUUGGCAGCGAGGAGGCAGGAGAGACGCAGUGCUCUCCUCCAUUCGGUCAUUCGGGGAUCUGGACUGCCAGUCCCCGUCUUUCUCUUUGGCACCAACUGGAACACAAGGCUCGCUCCUCCAUUGCAGAGCAGAAGAGUUGGAGAAGGAAUCAUUCAGGAACAAUGAAGUGCUUCAAUUGUCAUUCGGGGCAAUUAAGAAACAACUUACUAUGAAGGCUGCAGAAUACGUGUCCACUGGUGCUCUUGGAUGGAAGAAGGGGUCAUGGAUCCCCUGUGGUCAGUGCUGGACCUGGAUCUGAAGGGAGGAAGAGUUUCAGAACUGCCAUCUUUUUUGGAUAUACAAGCGUUUCCUGAAAACCAUGGAAAGAGAGUAUAGAACUUCACUUCCAUUUUAUUUAAUUAUCAUCUGGCUUAUAAUACAUUUCUACAUAUUUCCUAUUCCAAAAAUGCAGUUUCGUAAAAGCUGUCCUUCACAAGACGCGAGGACUCGAUUCAUUUUGGAAGAAACCCUGGUUCCAAGUAGAUUCUAUCAGCUCUGUGACCAUUACAUGUGUUUCACCUACUGAGAAAGGCUUCCGGAAGCUGUCUCCUGAUUAUUUGAUAUGUCUUCUUCAGGGUCUUAGUCUUAAUCAUUUCAUUUGUUUUGUCUAAAAGUAUUCUGUUGAAUUGAGCCAGCCAUUUUACAUCAUUUUUCUAUAAUAAACGAGUUUAAACUCACAAGAGAGUCUUUUCUCUCCAAUUUCUAACAAAAUCACUGUGUAGUUUUAGGAUACACAUAAAAUUUGACCAAAAGCAGUUUCCUCUUCUGGACUUUCUGGGGCUAUGUUUCCUUUUCUUUGGAUAAUCCUUUAGCUUUUCUAUCAU